AAGUCCACAGGUGUAUAUGUAAAUAUAUAACUCCAAAUAAGUAGUUAUCCACGUUGCAUUGGGAAGAGACCUUCGCAGGCGCCGCGUCGUACAAUUUGUAUAUCUGUGGAGAUGAAGGACAAUUAUGAGAUUAAUGUUUUUUAGAUAACUCACGAUUACGUUUUCGUUCGGAUUUGGAAUCCCCCGACUCAUGCGUGGAGGUCACAUACAAACUAGUACAAAUGGAAAUGAAAUAUGUGUGGAAAAGAAAACGGUAUACGUGACUUGAACCUAUGCGUGGCUCAGAUGUCUUCAUGCGUAAGUACAGCAUGCCAAGUAAUGUUGUGGUUUAAAGUACCGUUUCAAUGUCAAAACGCAAGAAUGGCCAAGGUGAGGCAGCAGGUUAACACAACAGGUUCGCUUAAUGUGAUGAUAUGAGCUUGUGUUUAUCAUUAUGAUGAUGACAAUUUAUAGUAAUGAAGAUCUUGAUCACUCAUUUAAAUUUAAUGUAGUGCGUACAUACACCGACGAGAGUGACUCACCUGCUCCGCAUUGACGCGCACACUCGAACUUCUGCGGAUUCUGGUAUUGCUGCUGAUUGCUCGCACAAACCGGAUUGUACUCGGAGGUGGUAGGACAGCUGCCGAAACAGUUCAAGAAUUGUGGCGUAGAUGUGGUGCGCGCUGUAAACGGUGCAAUGGUUGCAACAAUGGGUUGAUUGUUGAUGAAGACAACAUUUGGGGCGGCAUUGUUGUUUCCCUCUGGGCCGGUCGGAGGUGCCGGCGUUGUGGUUGUUGUGCUGCUAGUUGUUUGUCCGCCAUCAUUGCUGAAUAUUAGCGGCUCGCCAGCACCUGGCCAUCCCCAACGACGUCCCGGAAAGGGCGUCGGUCCAAAAUCAAAGUCCGCUGGUGUGAAGAAAGGAUUGCUGUCACCGAAAUUGGUGGAGAAAAUUUGACGCUUCAGGCGUUGUGCGCUGCUCGACGCCUCAUUCCGUUGCUCUGUAGGCACGCCAAACGCUGGGUUGGUUAAUAUCAUCAACACCGCUAUGU